UGGGGAAUAUUGGACAAUGGGCGCAAGCCUGAUCCAGCAAUGCCGCGUGAGUGACGAAGGCCCUAGGGUUGUAAAGCUCUUUCAGUGGUGACGAUGAUGACGGUAGCCACAGAAGAAGCCCCGGCUAACUCCGGGCCAGCAGCCGCGGUAAUACGGAGGGGGCAAGCGUUGUUCGGACUUACUGGGCGUAAAGCGCACGCAGGUGGUAACGCAAGUGGGGUGUGAAAGCCGCCAGCUUAACUGGCGGAGGCCAUCCCAAACUGCGUCACUUGAGGCCUGUAGAGGUAUGUGGAAUUGCCGGUGUAGUGGUGAAAUGCGUAGAGAUCGGCAGGAACACCCAGGGGGAAACCAGCAUACUGGACAGGUCCUGACACUCAGGUGCGACAGCGUGGGGAGCGAACCGGAUUAGAUACCCCCGUAGUCC
rnacentral:rRNA from 1 species